GCUUUGAUAGUUUAAGAAAAAACACUGGUCUUGUAAACCAGUAAUGAAGAUUCCCUUCUCAAAUCA
rnacentral:tRNA from 1 species